rnacentral:rRNA from 1 species
AUUGAACGCUGGCGGCAUGCCUUACACAUGCAAGUCGAACGGCAGCACGGGAGCAAUCCUGGUGGCGAGUGGCGAACGGGUGAGUAAUAUAUCGGAACGUGCCCAGUCGUGGGGAUAACGUAGCGAAAGCUACGCUAAUACCGCAUACGAUCUAUGGAUGAAAGCGGGGGAUCGCAAGACCUCGCGCGAUUGGAGCGGCCGAUAUCAGAUUAGGUAGUUGGUGAGGUAAAGGCUCACCAAGCCGACGAUCUGUAGCUGGUCUGAGAGGACGACCAGCCACACUGGGACUGAGACACGGCCCAGACUCCUACGGGAGGCAGCAGUGGGGAAUAUUGGACAAUGGGCGAAAGCCUGAUCCAGCAAUGCCGCGUGAGUGAUGAAGGCCUUAGGGUUGUAAAGCUCUUUUACCCGAGAUGAUAAUGACAGUACCGAGAGAAUAAGCACCGGCUAACUAACCGUGCCAGAGCCGCGGUAAA